rnacentral:rRNA from 1 species
CGGACGGGUGAGUAACGCGUGGAAAACCUGCCGUAUACUGGGGGAUAACACUUAGAAAUAGGUGCUAAUACCGCAUAAGCGCACAGCUUCGCAUGAAGCGGUGUGAAAAACUCUGGUGGUAUACGAUGGUUCCGCGUCUGAUUAGCUAGUUGGUGGGGUAAUGGCCUACCAAGGCGACGAUCAGUAGCCGGCCUGAGAGGGUGAACGGCCACAUUGGGACUGAGACACGGCCCAAACUCCUACGGAAGGCAGCAG